rnacentral:rRNA from 1 species
CCCCACAAUGGAACUGAAACACGGUCCAUACACCUACGGGUGGCAGCAGUAGGGAAUAUUAGUAAUGGGCGAAAGCCUGAACUAGCAACACCGCGUGUGCGAUGAAGGCCUUCGGGUUGUAAAGCACUUUUCGGGAGGAUGAGGAAGGACGGUACUCCCGGAAUAAGUCUCGGCUAACUACGCGCUAGCAGCCGCGGUAAAACGUAGGAGGCGAACGUUAUCCGGAUUUACUGGGCGUAAAGCGCGUGUAGGUGGUUUGGUAAGUAGGGCGUGAAAGCUCCUGGCUCAACUGGGAGAGGUCGUUCUAAACUGCCGAACUAGAGGAUGGUAGAGGGAGGUGGAAUUCCGGGUGUAGCGGUGGAAUGCGCAGAUAUCCGGAGGAACACCAGUGGCGAAAGCGGCCUCCUGGACCACUCCUGACACUCAGACGCGAAAGCUAGGGUAGCAAACGGGAUUAGAGACCCCGGUAGUCCUAGCCGUAAACGAUGUAGACUUGGCGUCGGUGGUUUAAUAUCCAUCGGUGUCGAAGCUAACGCGAUAAGUCUACCGCCUGGGGACUACGGCCGCAAGGUUAAAACUCAAAGGAAUUGACGG